GAUGAACGCUGGCGGCGUGCCUAAUACAUGCAAGUCGAGCGACCAGACGAGGAGCUUGCUCCUCUGACGUUAGCGGCGGACGGGUGAGUAACACGUGGAUAACCUACCUAUAAGACUUGGAUAACUUCGGGAAACCGGAGCUAAUACCGGAUAAUAUAUUGAACCGCAUGGUUCAAUAGUGAAAGACGGUUUUGCUGUCACUUAUAGAUGGAUCCGCGCCGCAUUAGCUAGUUGGUAAGGUAACGGCUUACCAAGGCAACGAUGCGUAGCCGACCUGAGAGGGUGAUCGGCCACACUGGAACUGAGACACGGUCCAGACUCCUACGGGAGGCAGCAGUAGGGAAUCUUCCGCAAUGGGCGAAAGCCUGACGGAGCAACGCCGCGUGAGUGAUGAAGGUCUUCGGAUCGUAAAACUCUGUUAUUAGGGAAGAACAAAUGUGUAAGUAACUAUGCACGUCUUGACGGUACCUAAUCAGAAAGCCACGGCUAACUACGUG
rnacentral:rRNA from 1 species